UUUUUUUUCUGAUUGCAGAGGUCAUAUGUAUUCUGUGUGGAGAAUUUGGAAGAUGAAGAAAAGUACAAAUCCUAUCAACCGUAACAUCUCCUGCAUUUCAUAAAACAAUGAUAUCACUUUCAAAUGUGUAAAUGAGAAGCUUAUUUUAAGAACACAAUUUUUCUUUUCCAUUAAAUUUGCAUCUAGUAGAGUAAGCUUAGGGAGAAAUUAGCCCUUCUGAUUGUUAUUUAGCAUUAUUUUACUUUGUGUUUACUUACACACAUUUUUUUUUUUUAAUGGCCACACCAGCAGCAUAUGGAAAUUCCAGGGCCAGGGGUUGAAUCUGAGCUGCAGCUGUGGAAAUGCCAGAUCCUUUUAAAACCACUGUGCCAGGCCAGGGAUUAAGCCUGAAGUGUCUCAGCAGCUAUCUGAGCCAAUGCCGUCACAUUCUUAACCCACUGGGCCACAGCGGGAACUCCUUCCUUACAUUAUUAUUACAUUAUUAUUACUAAAAGUAAACUCUUUUCCCGGAGCACUUAGCAUGUGUGGGGCAGAAUGCUAAGCACAGCACAUGAAUUAUCUCACUUUGUCCUCCCAAGAAACCCAGAAGAUUGGCAUGAAUUCCGUUAACUUAAUACAGGUGGGUUAGUGGAAGAAUCAGAGUGAUUAUAUAAGGCAGCCAAGGUCCCUCAGCUGGUAAUGUGGGAAACCAGGAUUCAUACCCAAUCCUCUGCAAUCAUUCCACUCCCUCAUCGGGGAAAGGAACGGAGGGAAGGAGGGAAUUUAUGGAACCUCGCCUUGUCAGUCCUGGUGCUGGUUGCGUGCCUUGCUGAUCGUGUUCAAUCUUCACAGCCCCACAAGUUUCACUAGUGAAAUGGAAAUGGGGCCAUGGAACUCCUCACAGUGUCUUGCUAGAAGUAGAAUCUGAUUGUAAUUAAUUGGAAAUCACACACAUUCUCAUACACACUCGUGAGUAUACAUAGACACAUGCUUUACUAAUACAUUAUGCACGUUAUAAAUGACUUACUUUAUGCAUUUUUGAAUGAUGAAAUUAUUCUAAAUAAACUUUUUGAAAGAUACUUCGUAUUUAUGUGC
rnacentral:lncRNA from 1 species